GGUGGGUUGGCUCAGUUCAUAGAGCGUAGGUCUCGUAACCGAAAGGUUGCGGGAUCGAAUCCCGCUAGAGGCUG
rnacentral:tRNA from 1 species